AGCAGUCGCGGUAAUUCCAGCUCCAAUAGCGUAUAUUAAAGUUGUUGCAGUUAAAAAGCUUGUAGUUGAAUUUCGGGAUCAGUACGCUGGUCGUGCCUCUGGUAUGUACUGGUGUCACUGAUUCCUCCCUUCUGACGAACCAUCAUGCCAUUCACUUGGUGUGGUGGGAAAUCAGGACUGUUACUUUGAAAAAUUAGAGUGUUUAAAGCAGGCUCACGCUUGAAUACAUUAGCAUGGAAUAAUGAAAUAGGACGUUGAUCCUAUUUUGUUGGUUUCUAGGAUUGACGUAAUGAUUAAUAGGGAUAGUUGGGGCAUUAGUAUUCAAUUGUCAGAGGUGAAAUUCUUGGAUUUAUUGAAGACUAACUACUGCGAAAGCAUUUGCCAAGGAUGUUUUUCAUUAAUCAAGAACGAAAGUUAGGGGAUCGAAGACGAUCAGAUACCGUCGUAGUCUUAACCAUAAACUAUGCCGACUAGGGAUCGGAUGAUGUUAAUUUUUAAUG
rnacentral:rRNA from 1 species